rnacentral:sRNA from 1 species
ACCAGGUAUGGUGGUGCAUGCCUAUAAUCCCAGCAGCUGGGAGGCUGAGGCAGGAGGAUCGUGAGUUCAGAGCCAGCCUCAGCAAUUUAGCAAGACCCUAAACAACUUAGAGAGACCCUAUCUCUA